rnacentral:rRNA from 1 species
CCUACGGGUGGCUGCAGUGAGGAAUAUUGGUCAAUGGACGAGAGUCUGAACCAGCCAAGUAGCGUGAAGGAUGACUGCCCUAUGGGUUGUAAACUUCUUUUAUGAAGGAAUAAAAUGAGGCACGUGUGCCUUUUUGCAUGUACUUUAUGAAUAAGGAUCGGCUAACUCCGUGCCAGCAGCCGCGGUAAUACGGAGGAUCCGGGCGUUAUCCGGAUUUAUUGGGUUUAAAGGGAGCGUAGAGGGCUUGUUAAGUCAGCUGUGAAAGUUUGUGGCUCAACCGUGGAAUUGCGAUUGAUCCUGGCAUUCUUGAGUACAGUGGAGGUAGGCGGAAUUCGUGGUGUAGCGGUGAAAUGCUUAGAUAUCACGAAGAACCCCGAUUGCGAAGGCAGCUUACUAAACUGUGACUGACGUUGAUGCUCGAAAGUGUGGGUAUCAAACAGGAUUAGAUACCCUGGUAGUC